CCUACGGGGGGCUGCAGUGGGGAAUAUUGCACAAUGGGCGAAAGCCUGAUGCAGCGACGCCGCGUGAGGGAUGAAGGCCUUCGGGUUGUAAACCUCUUUCAGUAGGGAAGAAGCGCAAGUGACGGUACCUACAGAAGAAGCACCGGCUAACUACGUGCCAGCAGCCGCGGUAAUACGUAGGGUGCGAGCGUUGUCCGGAAUUAUUGGGCGUAAAGAGCUUGUAGGCGGUUUGUCGCGUCUGCCGUGAAAAUCCGGGGCUCAACUCCGGACUUGCGGUGGGUACGGGCAGACUAGAGUGUGGUAGGGGAGACUGGAAUUCCUGGUGUAGCGGUGAAAUGCGCAGAUAUCAGGAGGAACACCGAUGGCGAAGGCAGGUCUCUGGGCCACUACUGACGCUGAGAAGCGAAAGCGUGGGGAGCGAACAGGAUUAGAUACCCCAGUAGUC
rnacentral:rRNA from 1 species